rnacentral:other from 1 species
AAGUAUCUGACUCAGUCGAUAGUUUUUCGAUCGAUACUUUCAUAAAGUCAGGGAUAGUUGAUUUAUUUACGGUGUGCAUGCUUGCAGGGUGUGUCGUCAUUCAGCGAUGAUGGCACACACCCUAACAAGAAGCCUAAAGUAGAUAGACUUAAUCCCACCUGCAUCCCAGGAUCAGGAAACGAGCUGAGUCAGAUAUUUU